rnacentral:rRNA from 1 species
GGGCCCGCACAAGCGGUGGAGCAUGUGGUUUAAUUCGAUGCAACGCGAAGAACCUUACCUGGUCUUGACAUAUCUAGAAUCCUGCAGAGAUGCGGGAGUGCCUUCGGGAAUUAGAAUACAGGUGCUGCAUGGCUGUCGUCAGCUCGUGUCGUGAGAUGUUGGGUUAAGUCCCGCAACGAGCGCAACCCUUGUCCUUAGUUACCAGCGGGUUAAGCCGGGAACUCUAAGGAUACUGCCAGUGACAAACUGGAGGAAGGCGGGGACGACGUCAAGUCAUCAUGGCCCUUACGACCAGGGCUACACACGUGCUACAAUGGUAGGUACAGAGGGCAGCUACACAGCGAUGUGAUGCGAAUCUCAAAAAGCCUAUCGUAGUCCAGAUUGGAGUCUGCAACUCGACUCCAUGAAGUAGGAAUCGCUAGUAAUCGCGGAUCAGAAUGCCGCGGUGAAUACGUUCCCGGGCCUU